GGCUAAGCCGCUCCAGCCCAGCGGCCACACGAGCCCGCCCGGAAGCGGAAAGGAGAGGCUGCGUUUCGUACAGCGGGUCCGGCGGAAACACGACUCUGCCCGGAAGCACAUCUUGGAGACUCCCACCUAGAAGAAAACAGUCAGUCUGAGAUUCGAAGACCUAAUGGAACACUGUGUUCAGAGCAAGGAAAUUAAGCUCCCAGCAGCAGAUGUGAUUAAAGAAUGCAACAUUUGACAACAGGGCAGAUAAGUUGUGGCUCUCAGUGUUGAUUGGCCUUUUUGCAGGACUAGAAAAAUAUAAUUGCCUCUCUCCCAUCAUCUUUAUUUCCACCACUUCUCCUUUAGUCUCAGCUUUUCAGCCACUAGAAAACAUCUGCCCCCAUGUUUAACUGGUACCUGCACCAGAUUUGCAAUUACUACUCUACACAGCCAUCAACACUUAUCAUAGCUCCCAGCUUGAGGUAGCAUUUGAGCAAGGAGAACUACGCACCAGCAUUCACAGCUCCUCUGAUAGCCAGAAGCAUAUUCCCCAGCAUUUCCUAACCAAAUGUGUCCAGAGCAAAUCCAUGUGAGUGUUCUACUCUGCCUGCAGCAUGAGUAAACAGUUCAACCCAUUGCUUAAUUCCAUUCCCCUAAGGCUGUUGAGCCCUUUCUCCUACCCAAGAUGUUAACAUAAGAUACAUUCAUCUCAGCUGCACCCACCCAACAUCUCAGCCUUUAAAACACUCCAGCCCUUACCGUUACAGUGUUCAUUUUGUAUAAUCAUGUGAUCAUCUUCUGCCCAUGCUGAGUAGUAGCGCACAACAUGGGGGUGGUGUCCAAGGACCGCAUGAGCGUAAACCUCACGCAAUGCCAGCUGCCUAGAGAAGCAUGCACAGAAAAAGCAUUGGUGACAGGAUGUCAUGGUACUGUGUGGGACCAUACAAUGAGUUUGAUUUGCAGCCUGACUGGGGAAAGGGAAAGCUGAGAUGUUUUGGACUCAGAUUUUGGCAGAUGGACUGACUCACAGCUGCUGAAGCAAAGCCUUAAAAAUGGAUAUUCAGGAAUACCUCAGCUUGUCAAGCAGCUGCCAAUGCAGGCACCGCUGAACAAGUUUCCUAUUAAAGUGGAAAAGGUACUUUCAAAGACAUUGCUUCGACACAUCAGCAUGCAGAAUAACACUAGGUGGUCAAUACGGAUGCAAAUAGGUUGUGUGGAAGGCCAAUACCACAAGUAAAUAGUUUAAUAGUUGUUUUAAAGACAGACUGGCUGCAUGGGGUAUGAGGAUUCUGGGUAAGCUGCCAUAUCACUUUAUAGUGCAUGUGGCUUCUCCUCUCUGAGACACUUGUAUUUAUUUGCCCUAAAAUGGUAUCUUUCUUCACCCUCCCACCUCUUAUUUAAACAGCAGCCAGUUUUCGCUCCCACCACUCUUCAGAUACCUUUAUAUUCACACUCCCUCCUUCCCGAUCACACCUCCCAAGAACACAUCCAUCAUUUCAGCUAGCACACUCACUCAUCUGAGGAUCCUGCCAGAGGCCUCUUGGAGCGUUUGAUGGCAUAAACACAUCCGUCAAGGCGCUUGAUGCAUUUGUAGACAGAACCAAAUUCCCCUACACCAAUCCUUUCCAGUUCCAGGAAUUCCUUCUGGUAGCGGGAAACCAUAUUGCUGUCUUUCAGAGGACACCUCUAGAAGGUCAUAAGUACAGCAGAGACAGCAGUAUGAGUUGAAAGACUCAGAUACACAUCACAUUUUUAGAGCUGUGAAUCAUUCAUCCAAACACAAGACUCAUUUUACUCCCUUUCCCAUCCUGAACUCUCUCCACAUGCAUGCAGACUUUCAACUGGUAUCUUCCACUUCAAGAUUUUUGUAAUCUUCUGGGCACCUAACAAAGGCUGCCUUCAUCCAGCUCAGUCAAGAUUUAUUUAUUCUAAUCAUAGGGCUAGAAAAUGCAGCUAAGGACUAAAGAAACAGUUUAGUUGGCUGUAUGUGGCUUGCAUUACUACCAUCAUAUCCCUUCUCUUGGCAGCUCAGUCCGGUUCCUGCACCCACAACAAAUGAAGUAAAACAAGGAAGAACUGCAGAAAGAGUAUUUGCCUUCUGCUCAGCUACUGCAGACUUGAGAAGACUUGUUACCAGACUUGAUACAUGGAAGUCCAGCACUUCUGUAUCCAUCACUCACGUUCUCAGCUUGAGUUUAAAUGAGAGCUAUGGACUAUUUGGAGCUAAGGAGAAAUUGAUGCUACCCGAGCUACAUAAAACCUGCUUUAUGCUGGCAGUCAAAGUCACCUACAGCAAGCACAUCAUGCACCAGCUGAGGAUCUCAUUGGCUCUGAAGCAACAGCUGUUGACUAACUGUACUUCAGCAGGUCUAAGUGUUUGUAUUCCUAGCUAUUUCCUCACCAAGAGCCACAUCUGUACCAAGGGAUAAAAGCCUGCAGAGCAGCUGGAACAUUAUUGUUACAGUAACGGUCAUCAGAGAAAUAGAAGGUGCUGGUACUGCUUGUAGAGUGAUGUCUACCAGCAGGAGAGAGAAGGAAAAAAAGUAGUGGUGCAUGAAGGGAACAAGAAACUGGACUAUGUGAUUUCCCUUUAUCCCUCUACAUCCCUUACAGGGACAAGGUUUCCUGUUGCACAUGACUUUCCACAAAAACCACUGCUGUGAUUCCUGCUAGACUGCAAUAUGACCUUAAAGGAAGGAUUUGGUCCCCCAGUCAGAAAGAUGUGGCCCACGUGAAACAGCAGCUCUUCACAACAGGCCAAAUUUUGUAAGACAGCUAAAUAUUAGCUCAGGAAAUAAAAAUAGCUUCUAGUAACAA